rnacentral:siRNA from 1 species
UUGACACUUUCAGAUUUCUAAU